rnacentral:rRNA from 1 species
UACGGGGGGGGCAAGCGUUGUUCGGAUUUACUGGGCGUAAAGAGCGUGUAGGCGGCCAAACAGGUCCGUUGUGAAAACUGGAGGCUUAACCUCCAGACGUCGACGGAAACCGUAUGGCUAGAGUCCGGAAGAGGAGAGUGGAAUUCCUGGUGUAGCGGUGAAAUGCGCAGAUAUCAGGAAGAACACCAAUGGCGAAGGCAGCUCUCUGGGACGGUACUGACGCUGAGACGCGAAAGCGUGGGGAACGAACAGG